AAUUUAUUGCUAUUAGAUGAGCCUAUAUUAGAUUAGCUAGUUGGUGGAGUAAUAGCCUACCAAGGCAAUGAUCUAUAGCUGAUCUGAGAGGAUGAUCAGCCACACUGGAACUGAGAUACGGUCCAGACUCCUACGGGAGGCAGCAGUGGGGAAUAUUGGACAAUGGGCGAAAGCCUGAUCCAGCCAUGCCGCAUGAGUGAAGAAGGCCUUUGGGUUGUAAAGCUCUUUUAGUGAGGAAGAUAAUGACGGUACUCACAGAAGAAGUCCUGGCUAACUCCGUGCCAGCAGCCGCGGUAAUACGGAGAGGGCUAGCGUUAUUCGGAAUUAUUGGGCGUAAAGGGCGCGUAGGCUGAUUAAUAAGUUAAAAGUGAAAUCCCGAGGCUUAACCUUGGAAUUGCUUUUAAAACUAUUAAUCUAGAGAUUGAAAGAGGAUAGAGGAAUUCCUGAUGUAGAGGUAAAAUUCGUAAAUAUUAGGAGGAACACCAGUGGCGAAGGCGUCUAUCUGGUUCAAAUCUGACGCUGAAGCGCGAAGGCGUGGGGAGCAAACAGGAUUAGAUACCCUGGUAGUCCACGCUGUAAACGAUGAAUGUUAAAUAUGGGAAGUUUAC
rnacentral:rRNA from 1 species